rnacentral:pre_miRNA from 1 species
CUGUUUCAUCGCUGUUCUCUCGGAUUCGCUUGGUGCAGGUCGGGAACGGUCUGCCGCCGUACGAUCAGAUCAGGUUCCGAUCAGAUUCGAUCCUGUCCGUCCAUUGGGCGGCUCAGUUCCCGCCGUGCAUCAAGUGAAUUCGAGAGUGUCCGGCGAAAGGACGA